GUAUUUCUCUACCUUUGUGUGGCCUGUUCUUCUUGCUGUUAUUUUGUACUUCCUCCUACAUAUCAAGCAACUAUAAGUGGCAUGAGUACGCGUGGCGCUGAGAGCGAUGACUGAGUGUGUGUUUGCCAGAGUGCGAGAGGAAGCGCUGCGAACGCUCAAACGGAAGCAACGGUCUCGUGAGGAAUCGAGAUGCGUGGUUUAGAUCUCGGGCCGAAACAGCAACAUCUGAAAACCAAAGCAGUCUCAAGUCGUUCCUCAGAAGCUCCGUUAAUCGGGGCUGAAGAUGCAGGGACGUCAAUGUCAAACGAUGCCCUCGUGUCCAAUGGCAGCGACCCGCCGCGUGUGAGCCGUAGACGUCCAAUCAUAGCGUCUCUGCGUCUUCCGUCUUUAGAAAGGUGACGUUCUCUCCCGCUUUAAACCACAACAACUAGCAUCAGAGUUUUCCACCACAUUUCACUGCACGGUUCAACUCUGGUCUUGAACAUAUCUUCUUGCCAAAGCUCAAGAGUCAAUAUCUGAUGCAUCAGCCAGCAUAACGCAGACCAGCUUAUUGGUUCUCUUGAAAUUGUGCCUUUCAAAGGGCUGACUAGGAAAAGCAGAGGCAAGUAAAACUAGAGAGGCUUCCAUGAGUUAAAAGCAACGUGUGAACCCGCCCUGUCGCUCUGAUCAUCUCCAAUGUCGGCCAGCGAAUAUACGAAUAUCGUAGCAUGAACAACAAGUUCAGUUCAGAUCUAACGACGCACACGGAUGAAAAAAAGCAUCUGGUUCUGUCAAUGAAGUCAAAGCUUCACGAGUUAAAGCGGCAUUCUCUGUAGUGACCAGCAGGGGGCGACUCCUCUGCUCCCAUAGACGUCUAUGAGGAAAUGACUCUACUUCUCUGUAGUGACCAGCAGGGGGCGACUCCUCUGCUCCCAUAGACGUCUAUGAGGAAAUGACUCUACUUCUCUGUAGUGACCAGCAGGGGGCGACUCCUCUGCUCCCAUAGACGUCUAUGAGGAAAUGACUCUACUUCUCUGUAGUGACCAGCAGGGGGCGACUCCUCUGCUCCCAUAGACGUCUAUGAGGAAAUGACUCUACUUCUCUGCAGUGACCAGCAGGGGGCGACUCCUCUGCUCCCAUAGACGUCUAUGAGGAAAUGACUCUACUUCUCUGUAGUGACCAGCAGGGGGCGACUCCUCUGCUCCCAUAGACGUCUAUGAGGAAAUGACUGAUUUAUUCCCUCAGUAAACAUUGUAAACACGAGUUUAUGGUCUCAGUCUCUAGUUUCACGUUGUCUUCAACGCAACAUGUUCAUUAAUUCAGUAAAUUAUUUAUGGUCCGUUUAGAGUCAAACAGACCAUAAAGCAGCUUUGGGGCGGGGCUACACGUUGAUAGACAGGUCUCUUGUGGUCACUUAUGUCCACAAACCAAUGGGUGAUUCCAUUAUAGCUACCUCCACCUCGUAUAUACAGUUUACAGGUGAAACGUCUUUGUUAAGAUGACUUUACGGCUAACUGGCCAAACUAACAGCCUGUUGUCUCAAACAAGAAUCAGCACAUGAAAGAUCGAGACUAACUUGAUGUGUGAUAUUUUCCUUUUAAUUCAGAAACAUCAUCUGUGUGUCAAAUCAAACAGUCUACUAUGCACAUAAAUAAACAUUUCCUUCCCCAUGAAGCGUCGGCGCCGGAACAGUCGCAGAUCUUCUUCAGUCCAACAUUUCUCCAGUACUUCUGGUCCAUUUACGUUUGCUGUUGUUCACAAACUCAUGAGGAAAUAAUGGAAAUAUCAGAUAUCGUCUAGAUAUUGAGAGGUGAGAUGAGACUCAGGUUUCACAAUAAAAGCCUUCUAACGGAAGUGAAGCGAUCCUGGUCAUGAGGGUUUUAAUGUGAAAGGGCAAAAGAGGAAAAACAAGGUAACAAGGAGAACAAGAGAAUAGUUCUGACUGAAAUACGAUAUCACUUUUAGAACCAUUAAAGACGUUCCUCUCUCUAGAGACGCACGCGGGCAUCUAUUUGAGCGUUUGCAGUGUUUCCUGUUUUAUUGUCCUGUUUUCUGCUGUGGUGAAAUGUUCUUGUGGACCCUUAAAGCUGCUAUCCUUGUACUGUGUAGAUCAGAGACGUCCAGCCGUGUCCCUGAAACCCUACAAACGUCCUCCAUUACUGUCCAAGUUCCUCACAUAGGCACCGAGACAGAGCUCAGAACUCCUCGCCGGCCCGGUUUGUGCCUUCUACGGGAAUCCACCUUUUAACAAUGGACUACCUUUCAUUAAGGAACUUUGAACUGGUCCUGGAUCUGUCUCUGUCUAGUCCUGGUCCUCUAUGUGAACCAGUCUCAUUUUAGUCCUGGUCCUCUAUGUGAACCAGUAUCACUUUAGUCCUGAUCCACUAUAUGAACCAGUCUUAUUUUAGUCCUGGGCCUCUAUAUGAUCCAGUAUCACUUUAGUCCUGAUCCACUAUAUGAACCAGUCUUAUUUUAGUCCUGGGCCUCUAUAUGAUCCAGGCUCAGUGUAGUCCUGGUCCUUUAUAUGAACCAGUCUCACUUUAGUCCCGAUCCACUAUGCGAACCAGUCUCACUUUAGUCCUGAUCCACUAUACGAACCAGUCUCACUUUAGUCCUGAUCCACUAUAUGAAUCAGGCUCAUUUUGGUCCUGGUCCUCUAUGUGACCUUCAACAGGACACAAGUCCAUCACAGAGUAGAGGGUCCAUCUCGGCAUAGUUGGGGUUCUGGAGGGAGGAGGACUCAGCUCCAGAACAACAUCCUCCUGCAGGAGCAGAGCUUCGCCUCUCUGGAGACCCGCAAUGUGUUGCUGGACCCGCUGGAGGGACAGGACCCCCGGCAGGACCAGGACCAGGACUGAGAGGGUUCUGUAGAUGGACCGUGGUGAGAGGAGAACGCUUUUGAUAAAAACCCUCAAAUAUGAAGUCUGAUCCCUUCAGAGGCACAAACUGAAGCUCGGCGUCCUUUUUCCAGUCGAACCAAACGUCUUCUUUUAAACACUCGUUUGUAGGCGCAUUUUUCUGUUUGAUAUCUUUUAUUUGUAAUUGCAUGGUUUUGAUCGAACACCUCGUCUCCCCCGGAGGACGUUGUGUUCUGAUAACGGUACUGGAGGUCCUCCUCGUCCUCCUCGUCCUCUCGGUCUUUGCUGCCUGUGCGUCUCCCGUGAAGCUGCCUCCCUCCAUCAACCUUCUACUGACGCCCCAAAACAAACGCUGCCAAAUUGGUCUCAAUAAGCCAAAAGUUUCCGUGUAGACGUGGUUUAAGUGUUUCACAUGUUAAACCUCAUCCCGUCAAUGUUACGUUGUGUUUUUAACAGAAAAAAGAAAUCCUGUUUGUUAAACUGUUGAUAAUAUAUGCAGACGAGUUAUGAAAUAAACUGGAACAUACUCAGACGUGUUUGUUGGUGCUUGAGUUUCUCCAGAUGAUGGAGAUGGAAAUAAUAAAGGAAAG
ensembl:lncRNA